CCCGCCGGGUGAGGUGCCCGCCUCCACGCACUGUGCCUGCUGCCCUCCGCCGCGCCGCGCCGAUCUGCGGGCUGGGCGCCGCGCCUGCUGGCCUCCACCGCCGGCCCCGCCGGAACUGCAGGCCGGGCGGCUAGCUGCUGCGUGCGGCGGGCCUGGUGCGUGCCACUGCAGUGCCCCCUCACCGGGGCAUCGCCGGGGCCUCCUCACCAGGGCCACGGCGCUGUUCGUGGUCUUCUGCUUCGCCACCCCAUCGAGCGCCGCGCUGCCGGACCUGCUGCGCGCCGCGGGCCUCAUCUUCGAUCUGCAGACUAGCUUGCUGGAGGGAUCAACAGACAAAUAUAUGAGCCGCUGAAGCUCCGCUUGGACGCUGUGCAGGGAGGUUGUUUCACCAUCCUCGACUCGUUCACUUCGCCGCACGCUGUCGUCGAGCUGCACCGA